AUUGAACGCUGGCGGCAGGCCUAACACAUGCAAGUCGAACGGUAACAGGAAGAAGCUUGCUUCUUUGCUGACGAGUGGCGGACGGGUGAGUAAUGUCUGGGAAACUGCCUGAUGGAGGGGGAUAACUACUGGAAACGGUAGCUAAUACCGCAUAACGUCGCAAGACCAAAAAGGGGGACCUUCGGGCCUCUUGCCAUCGGAUGUGCCCAGAUGGGAUUAGCUAGUAGGUGGGGUAACGGCUCACCUAGGCGACGAUCCCUAGCUGGUCUGAGAGGAUGACCAGCCACACUGGAACUGAGACACGGUCCAGACUCCUACGGGAGGCAGCAGUGGGGAAUAUUGCACAAUGGGCGCAAGCCUGAUGCAGCCAUGCCGCGUGUAUGAAGAAGGCCUUCGGGUUGUAAAGUACUUUCAGCGGGGAGGAAGGGAGUAAAGUUGAUACCUUUGCUCAUUGACGUUACCCGCAGAAGAGGCACCGGCUAACUCCGUG
rnacentral:rRNA from 1 species